rnacentral:rRNA from 1 species
GACGAACGCUGGCGGCGUGCUUAACACAUGCAAGUCGAACGAAGAGCGACGGAAGCUUGCUUCUAUCAAUCUUAGUGGCGAACGGGUGAGUAACGCGUAAUCAACCUGCCCUUCAGAGGGGGACAACAGUUGGAAACGACUGCUAAUACCGCAUACGAUCUAACCUCGGCAUCGAGGAUAGAUGAAAGGUGGCCUCUACAUGUAAGCUAUCACUGAAGGAGGGGAUUGCGUCUGAUUAGCUAGUUGGAGGGGUAACGGCCCACCAAGGCGAUGAUCAGUAGCCGGUCUGAGAGGAUGAACGGCCACAUUGGGACUGAGACACGGCCCAGACUCCUACGGGAGGCAGCAGUGGGGAAUCUUCCGCAAUGGACGAAAGCCUGACGGAGCAACGCCGCGUGAGUGAUGACGGCCUUCGGGUUGUAAAGCUCUGUUAAUCGGGACGAAAGGCCUUCUUGCGAAUAGUGAGAAGGAUUGACGGUACCGGAAGAGAAAGCCACGGCUAACUACGUG